GCUACAUCACGUUUAAACCACCGGUUCCCGAAAGAUCAGCGAAGUUAAGCAAUGUCGAGCCUCGUUAGUACCUAGAUGGGUGACCGCUUUGGAAUACUAGCUGCUGUAAU